UACCACCCAGGACCGGAAAGUUCUCCAAACUUGGUCAUUUAGAGGAAGUAAAAGUCGUAACAAGGUCUCCGUUGGUGAACCAGCGGAGGGAUCAUUA
rnacentral:rRNA from 1 species